rnacentral:rRNA from 1 species
CCUACGGGUGGCAGCAGUGAGGAAUAUUGGUCAAUGGACGCAAGUCUGAACCAGCCAUGCCGCGUGCAUGAAGACGGCUCUAUGAGUUGUAAACUGCUUUUGUACGAGGGUAAACGCAGAUACGCGUAUCUGUCUGAAAGUAUCGUACGAAUAAGGAUCGGCUAACUCCGUGCCAGCAGCCGCGGUAAUACGGAGGAUUCAAGCGUUAUCCGGAUUUAUUGGGUUUAAAGGGUGCGUAGGCGGUCGGAUAAGUUAGAGGUGAAAACCCGUGGCUCAACUUCGGAAUUGCGUCUGAUACUGUUCGGCUAGAGUGUAGUAGAGGUAGGCGGAAUGUAUGGUGUAGCGGUGAAAUGCUGAGAGAUCAGGAAGAACACCGAUUGCGAAGGCAGCUUACCGAACUACUUCUGACGUUGAGGCACGAAAGCGUGGGGAGCAAACAGGAUUAGAUACCCCAGUAGUC